CCUACUACCACCAACUACCACCUACUACCAAACCCAGUUCAAACCGGUACGCCUGGCACCUACUACCACCUACUACCAAACCCAGUUCAAACCGGUACGCCUGGCACCUACUACCACCUACUACCACUUACUACCGUACCCUGUUCAACGUCUCUUAAAGCCACACACCUCCAUGUCUAAAAGCUUAUAAAUCCUUCUUUAACCCGUCUCCCCUUCAUCUACACUGAUUUUGAAGUGGAUUUAACAAGUGACAUCAAUAAUGGAUCAUAGCUUUUACCUGGUCAGUCUGUCAUGGAAAGAGAAAGGGUGUUCUUAAUGUUUUGUCAACCCGGUGUCUGUUUAGUUCUCCUCUUUCUCACCUUGUUUGUUUCAAAAUGUCACUAUAUAUAGAUUCAUGAUGAGUGUCUGUUUGAGGAGGAGUCCUGAUCUCGAUGCAGCAGGACGUGAUAUACCAAAUCGAGUGUAAAUGAACCAGUCAGUGUGAAAAACACUCAAUGAUUAAAAAAAUAAAGUUAUUUAAACUUUGA